rnacentral:RNase_P_RNA from 1 species
GCGAGCUGGUGAACGAGCUACUGCUUAGGCAGAGGAAACUCCUCCCUCCAUGCAGUAAAUGUGAUCCAGAGAUGGAUAGUCAGAGAUGACUGGCUACAGAACAGAAAAAAAUCUGACCCGGCGUCACUGUGAUGGCAAAACCUGAGAUUUCCGGCAAGGAAUGAAAGAGCUGACCCACAGGGAGCAAGGCCAAACAAAACUAUAAGCACUGCACUUGGUUUAGGUAGGCCGCAUAGCUUAAUCUCGUGAAAACAGAAGGAGAGUUACGUCUGGCACGC